rnacentral:siRNA from 1 species
CAGAUGGUCAUUCACAAACACAAC